rnacentral:tRNA from 1 species
UCCCUGCAGGCUCAGAUGGUAAAGAACCUGCCUGCAAUGCAGGAGACCCAGGUUCGAUCCCUGGGUUGGGAA